GCGGCCAUAAAAGGAAGUUGCGUUAAGAAGUUUGAGGCGCGCGCGCCGCGCUUCCCCUUUUAAGGCAGGGUCCCCGGCAGCGGCGCGGCGCGGCGGCAGCGCAGGCGGCGUGAGUCACAGCCGAGCCACAGCCAGUCAGUCGGCGACCGGCGGCGGCGGCGCAACCAUCCGGCGCGCUCCGACGCUCCGCGCUGCACACAGGUGUGGAGAAGCUGCAAGGUGUGCAAUAUUUCCAUAUUUUCUACACACGCAACAAGAGAAUCUCGUAACAACAACAUAAAGAACACAAGAAGCUUCACACAUUCUUCACAGUUACUUAGGGAAAGAAUUAUGCAAAUUACUGGAUAUCUUUUUUAUAUAACUGGCUUAUACCAUAUAUGUAAUAAAGUAAAAUACUAAACAGUGUGUUAGAAACUAAUACAGGAAACAAUUUUCUACUUUUAUUAUGGAAAAUGUGUCUAGUUUACAGAAAAGCUUUGAACUGAUGUUUCUGAUGUAAUGAUAAACACAGUCAGAAUUUGUGCAAUUCCUUCCUUUGUCAUAAUCCUGGAAUGUUUACCCAUCCUAAAAGCAAUACAUGCCAUAGAACAGUUCAACUGCCAGUAACAGUGAAAGAUUGACAAUAAAGCAACAGAAGCACAGAAAA